rnacentral:rRNA from 1 species
UACGUAGGGGGGCAAGCGUUGUCCGGAAUCAUUGGGCGUAAAGAGCUCGUAGGCGGCUUGUCGCGUCGACUGUGAAAACCCGCGGCUUAACUGCGGGACUGCGGCCGAUACGGGCAGGCUAGAGUUCGGUAGGGGAGACUGGAAUUCCUGGUGUAGCGGUGAAAUGCGCAGAUAUCAGGAGGAACACCGGUGGCGAAGGCGGGUCUCUGGGACGGUACUGACGCUGAGACGCGAAAGCGUGGGGAGCGAACAGG